CAAUAGCGUAUAUUUAAGUUGUUGCAGUUAAAAAGCUCGUAGUUGGAUUUCUGCUGAUCGCUGUCGGUCUGCCGUCAGGUGUGUACUGGCAGUGUUUGGCAUCUAUUCGAGAUUGGGUGUCCACUUGAUUGUGUGCACUCGAUGUCGGAGCUAAUACUUUGAGAAAAUUAGAGUGUUCCACGCAGGCGCGUGCCUUGAAUACUGCAGCAUGGGAUAUUGGAAGGCCGAUUGAGCUUUCUUGUUGGUUCUCGGUUUGAUCGGAAUGAUUAAUAGGGAUAGUUGGGGGCAUUCGUAUUCAACUGUCAGAGGUGAAAUUCUUGGAUUUGUUGAAGACGGACUACCGCGAAAGCAUCUGCCAUGGAUGUUCUCAUUGA
rnacentral:rRNA from 1 species